GCGUUGGUGGUGCAACGGUUGGGCAUGCGCCUCCGGAUAGUGUGAAACAUGGGUUCGAAUCCCGGCUCACGCA